rnacentral:rRNA from 1 species
UGGGGAAUUUUGGACAAUGGGCGCAAGCCUGAUCCAGCCAUGCCGCGUGCAGGAAGAAGGCCUUCGGGUUGUAAACUGCUUUCGGCCGGGAAGAAAUCGCCUUACCUAAUACGUGAGGUGGAUGACGGUACCGGAAGAAGAAGCACCGGCUAACUACGUGCCAGCAGCCGCGGUAAUACGUAGGGUGCGAGCGUUAAUCGGAAUUACUGGGCGUAAAGCGUGCGCAGGCGGAUAUUUAAGUCAGACGUGAAAUCCCCGGGCUUAACCUGGGAAUGGCGUUUGAAACUGGAUGUCUAGAGUGUGGCAGAGGGAAGCGGAAUUCCACGUGUAGCAGUGAAAUGCGUAGAGAUGUGGAGGAACACCGAUGGCGAAGGCAGCUUCCUGGGCUAACACUGACGCU